rnacentral:rRNA from 1 species
AGUGAACGCUGGCGGUAGGCCUAACACAUGCAAGUCGAACGGCAGCACAGUAAGAGCUUGCUCUUACGGGUGGCGAGUGGCGGACGGGUGAGGAAUACAUCGGAAUCUACUUUUUCGUGGGGGAUAACGUAGGGAAACUUACGCUAAUACCGCAUACGACCUACGGGUGAAAGCAGGGGAUGUUCGGACCUUGCGGGAUUGAAUGAGCCGAUGUCGGCUUAGCUAGUUGGCGGGGUAAAGGCCCACCACGGCGACGAUCCGUAGCUGGUAUGAGAGGAUGAUCAGCCACACUGGAACUGAGACACGGUCCAGACUCCUACGGGAGGCAGCAGUGGGGAAUAUUGGACAAUGGGCGCAAGCCUGAUCCAGCCAUACCGCGUGGGUGAAGAAGGCCUUCGGGUUGUAAAGCCCUUUUGUUGGGAAAGAAAAGCAGCAGGUUAAUACCCCGCUGUUCUGACGGUACCCAAAGAAUAAGCACCGGCUAACUUCGUG